GGUGGCAUAGUCAAGGUCUGCAAUACCUUUAUCACCGGUUCAAAUCCGAUUGCCGUCU
rnacentral:tRNA from 1 species